UUUAACUGAAGAGUUUGAUCAUGGCUCAGAUUGAACGCUGGCGGCAGGCUUAACACAUGCAAGUCGAGCGGGGGAAGGUAGCUUGCUACUGGACCUAGCGGCGGACGGGUGAGUAAUGCUUAGGAAUCUGCCUAUUAGUGGGGGACAACAUCUCGAAAGGGAUGCUAAUACCGCAUACGUCCUACGGGAGAAAGCAGGGGAUCUUCGGACCUUGCGCUAAUAGAUGAGCCUAAGUCGGAUUAGCUAGUUGGUGGGGUAAAGGCCUACCAAGGCGACGAUCUGUAGCGGGUCUGAGAGGAUGAUCCGCCACACUGGGACUGAGACACGGCCCAGACUCCUACGGGAGGCAGCAGUGGGGAAUAUUGGACAAUGGGGGGAACCCUGAUCCAGCCAUGCCGCGUGUGUGAAGAAGGCCUUAU
rnacentral:rRNA from 1 species